CAGUAGCCGCGGGAACACAGAGGGUGCAAGCGUCAAUCGGAUUUACUGGGCGUAAAGGGCGCGUAGGUGGUUAUGUAAGUGAGAUGUGAAAUCCCCGGGCUCAACCUGGGAACUGCAUCUUAUACUGCGUAGCUGGAGUGCAGUAGAGGGUAGUGGAAUUUCCGGUGUAGAGGUGAAAUUCGUAGAUAUUCGGAAGAACACCAGUGGCGAAGGCGGCUCACUGGCUCAUUCUAGACGCUGAGGUGCGAAAGCGUGGGGAGCAAACAGGAUUAGAUACCCCGGUAGUCCCUGUCUCUUAUAC
rnacentral:rRNA from 1 species